rnacentral:rRNA from 1 species
UGGGGAAUUUUGGACAAUGGGGGCAACCCUGAUCCAGCAAUGCCGCGUGUGUGAAGAAGGCCUUCGGGUUGUAAAGCACUUUUGUCCGGAAAGAAAUCGCCCUGGCUAAUAUCCGGGGUGGAUGACGGUACUGGAAGAAUAAGCACCGGCUAACUACGUGCCAGCAGCCGCGGUAAUACGUAGGGUGCGAGCGUUAAUCGGAAUUACUGGGCGUAAAGCGUGCGCAGGCGGUUGUGCAAGACAGAUGUGAAAUCCCCGGGCUUAACCUGGGAAUGGCAUUUGUGACUGCACGGCUAGAGUGUGUCAGAGGGGGGUAGAAUUCCACGUGUAGCAGUGAAAUGCGUAGAUAUGUGGAGGAACACCGAUGGCGAAGGCAGCCCCCUGGGAUAACACUGACGCUCAUGCACGAAAGCGUGGGGAGCAAACAGGAUUAGAUACCCUGGUAGUCCACGCCCUAAACGAUGUCAACUAGUUGUCGGGUCUUAAUUGACUUGGUAACGCAGCUAACGCGUGAAGUUGACCGCCUGGGGAGUACGUCGCAAGAUUAAAACUCAAAGGAAUUGACGGGGGUCAUAGCU